rnacentral:rRNA from 1 species
CAGGGAUUGCCCCAGUAACGGCGAGUGGAAGCGGCAACAGCUCAAAUUUGAAUUCUGGCCCCCGGGUCCGAGUUGUAAUUUGCAGAGGAUGCUUCGGGCGAGGUGCCUUCCGAGUUCCCUGGAACGGGACGCCACAGAGGGUGAGAGCCCCGUCUGGUCGGACACCGAGCCCGUGUGAAGCCCCUUCGAAGAGUCGAGUAGUUUGGGAAUGCUGCUCAAAAUGGGAGGUAUAUGUCUUCUAAAGCUAAAUAUUGGCCAGAGACCGAUAGCGCACAAGUAGAGUGAUCGAAAGAUGAAAAGCACUUUGAAAAGAGGGUUAAAAAGUACGUGAAAUUGUUGAAAGGGAAGCGCCCAUGACCAGACUUGGGCCCGGUGAAUCACCCGGCGUUCUCGCCGGUGCACUUUGCCGGGCACAGGCCAGCAUCAGUUUGGCGCGGGGGACAAAGGCUUCGGGAACGUGGCUCCCUCGGGAGUGUUAUAGCCCGCUGCGUAAUACCCUGCGCCGGACUGAGGUACGCGCAUCGCAAGGAUGCUGGCGUAAUGGUCAUCAGCGACCCGUCUUGAAACACGGACCAAGGAGUCGUCUUCGUAUGCGAGUGUUCGGGUGUCAAACCCCUACGCGGAAUGAAAGUGAACGCAGGUGAGAGCUUCGGCGCAUCAUCGACCGAUCCUGAUGUUCUCGGAUGGAUUUGAGUAAGAGCAUACGGGGCCGGACCCGAAAGAAGGUGAACUAAUGCUGUAUAGGGUGAAGCCAGAGGAAACUCUGGUGGAAGCUCGCAGCGGCUCUGACGUGCGAUCGAUCGUCAUAUGGCAUGGGGGGCGAGACUAUCUUCUACU